rnacentral:lncRNA from 1 species
GGGCAUAUGUCAUCAGGAUUCCUGAGGCUGUGUCAUGGGUGCACACCCUCAACCUUGGCAAAAUAAACUUUCUAAAUUAACUGAGACUUGUCUCAGAUUUUCUGGGUUCACAUUUUGGUAACCACAGGGGGAUUCUGAGUGGAGAUACCCCUGACCUUUGACAAAUAUCCUGUUGGUGCUUGGUACCAGCAUGAGCUAACUUUAUGGUUCAAACCAAUAGGACAAUUUGCCGUGCACCCCCUCCAGAGAAUCCCUGAGCUCCAAAAAUUUGGUUGAGAUCAAAAGUUUAUUUUGCUGUACAACUCCUCUUUUUGAGGGAGUUUUACUUGCUUCCAACAGGAAGGCAGGUUUUCUUGCUUCCAUGAUGAUGGAAGGCAGACAACUCCUUUAUGGAGUUUGAGCUUGCUUCCAACAGGGAAGAUGAGGUUUUUUUUUUCCUUCUUCUAGGAUGGUAGAGAGCGGUCUACAGCCUGAGACCCAUCACCAGCUAUUGCAACAGAGGCUACUCUUUGGUUUUCAAGAAAGAGUGUGGCUGCGCGUGGUGGCUCAUGCCUGUCAUCCCAACACUUUGGGACACCGAGGCGGGAGGAUCACGAGGUCAGGAGUUCAAGACCAGCAUGGACAACCUGGUGAAACCUCAUCUCUACUAAAAAUACAAAAAUUAGCUGGGCAUGGUGGUGCGUGCCUGUAAUCCCAGCUACUCAGGAGGCUGAGGCAGGAGAAUUGUUUGAACCGGGACCCAAGAGGUGAGGUUGCAGUGAACCAAGGUCAUGCCACAGCACUCCAGCCUGGGCUGCAGAGCAAGACUCCAUCACAAAAAAAAAAAAAGUGUAGUUUAAU